rnacentral:lncRNA from 1 species
UUGGCCGGAUCUGCGUCGAUGGUGGCUGAAUCUCGUUGGAGAAGGUUGUAGAUGAACAGAUCUAGACGGAUCUUAGUCGUAUGUGGCACAAUAGAAGUGAUGACCGCCAUAUCUAUCGACUGAAGAAAAUGAAAGGAAGAAGAAGAAGAAAUUAAAAUGAAGAGAAAAAUUAAAACGAAGUGGACAAAUGUGGCGGCGGUGAGAAGAAAGAACUGGGAAGAAAGGAAGGAAGAAGAAGAAGAAAAG